CGGCGGACGGGUGAGUAACGCGUGGGUAACCUGCCUCAUACAGGGGGAUAACAGUUGGAAACGGCUGCUAAUACCGCAUAAGCGCACAGUACCGCAUGGUACGGUGUGAAAAGCUCCGGUGGUAUGAGAUGGACCCGCGUCUGAUUAGCUAGUUGGUGGGGUAACGGCCUACCAAGGCGACGAUCAGUAGCCGGCCUGAGAGGGUGAACGGCCACAUUGGGACUGAGACACGGCCCAA
rnacentral:rRNA from 1 species